GCCACGCCGCCACGAUGCCACGCCACACCGCCGCGCCACGACGCCACGCCGGCGCUCCAGCCGCCGGUCCCCGCUGCCACGCGCAGCCCACGCGGCCACAGGGAGAAGGAGGCCGCCGGGCACUGCACGUGUGGUCCGCCGGCGGAUCUGGGCGGCCGUCCUGGGGGCAGUGAGCCGCCGCUGGAUCUCGGGCCGGCUGGUCUCAGGCGCCGCCGCCGGAUCUCGCUGCGCUCACCGCCGGCCCGCCCCAUCCGCCGCCGGAUCUCGAGCCGGCCGGUCUCAGGCGCGUGCGGCCGGCUUCCCCAGUCCAGCCUUCCUGGCAUCGGCUCCCUGCACGGCAGCUUCCCCUGCGUGCGUCCUCCCGCCCGUCCCCGCGCAUGGAGGAGCAACGGUGGUGCUAGACCUGAUACUUGCGGCCGUGCGGUGCUCUGUGGUGGCAUGCCUGCUGCGUGCCCAACACUUGGUGCCUCGACUGAAUCAAUGCAAUGCAGAUGGGAUGGCAAGGGAAAUUGAAUCCCUCCUCAGUCGUCUCAGAUAUAAUCGAUAAUGAAGCAGAUAAACAACAAAUUCUCGGGGAUUGGAGGCAGCGGCAUGAGAGUGAAUUACCAGACCACUAUGAGAAGCGGCUGCAGAACCUGUCCAAGGAGGAGGCCGCCGUGCUCACCCGCAUGCGCCACCGGGCGCUCUUCUCCCGACGCGGUGUCCAGAACCUCAUCGUCCUCUCCAUCCUCGGUGAGAGGAAGUCGGGGAUGGAGGCGCCCACAUUGCUUCCGCUGCUGCUGCUCCUGGCGGUGAAGAUGGGCGCUUCUUCGAGUCCGUGGGCAACUUCUUCACCGGCGGCGACAACAUCCCCUGGUGCGACCGCGACAUCAUCGCCAUUUUACUGCUCAGCAACAACAGGAAGGCGGUGGUUCUCUGGAACUGGCAGGGCUACCAGGCAACCAUCACCGCCCAAUGGUCAAGCAUCGGGCUCGCUUCAUCCACUGUUGUCAUUGCUCGCGAUCUAUGGGCGGUAUGCUUGCUUUCGUAAAAUGGAGAUGCAAGGAAAACUAUAUAAGCAGUUGCCUUCUUAUGAACGAAGUAACAAGACAAGCAAGCUCCAAAAGUUUUUGAUGGAACAAGCAAACUGCCAAGAUAGGAAACUGAAGGCAGCAAAAGAAGCAUUUGAUGCGAGCAUCGAUUGUGGAAUAACUUUCUUUGUUACUGCUGAAGUAUACGGAGCUGGGAUAUCAGGAGCCAUAAAUUCAGAAAGUUUACUCGGAAGAUUCAUUAAGGAAAGGCAACGAAAGGAACAAGUUGAAGUGGCCAUUGCAACAAAGUUUGCAGCUCUUCCAUGGAGCAACAGAUGUAAUGAUGGUGAUCCAAGAUUGGUUGUGAGGAGAGGAGUUCAAACACGAUUCGAAUCUAAUUGACCGAAGACGUGGGUACCUCCGUGCAGCUCCUCCCGCCGGACAGGCAAGCAAGAGAGCAGCAGCCAUGAGGGCAGUUCUGAAGAUGAGCCGGACGACGACAAUGAUGAACCUGCAAAGAAGGAUGUUGCCAAACCUUGGGUGCUGUUGCCAAAAAUGGUUUGAAGGAAGACAAGCAAGAAGCAGAGAUGAGGGCAGUUCAGACGAUGAGUCAGAUGAUGUGAGUAUGCGACUGGAAAAACUGUAAGAUUAAUGAUUGCAUUUUCAUUAGGUUUUCUGAUGCAAUGCCAUGGUGGGAAACAUGACAUUUGACAAAAAAAAUGUCAUCUAUAGUGGUGGCACGGUAUUAAAAUAUUGUCUUCGAGGACCUUAUCUACUAUGCUCAUCACUUAUGCAGGAUGUUUAGAAUAAUAGUAGAACAUAGGAGGCCCUCGCGGAAUGAAAGAAGGUGCUCGAGAGCCGCAAGACCAUAUUUGAACACGCAGAAUAAGGUCGAGGAGUCCUGGCGGUGGGCACAAAAAGCAGACGACGAUAACCGGCAGGAGGCCGACGUCGGCAUCUGGUAGUAAGGCAGCGGACUAAGCCGGCCAGCUGGAGGCGCAAUAGCCGGAUGAGGUCACUAUAACCUCUCUGUAGCCUAUCGGAGGGCUUGCUAGCCUGAAUAUUGAAGCCAGCAUUUCCUGAAAGAACUCACAUAAUUAUUUUGAUUGGUUUGCUAUUCAUCAAAGACUGGUUUCAUUGUGCAAUGCAUUUGAGCCUGGAUUGUGUAAGGCGCUCUCCUUUCAUGCGUCUCAACUUCAGUUUAGUGCACUAUUUUCCUCUCAGAUAUAUAUGCCAAGGCCAAAACGUGCUCCAAGUGUACAUCCCUUUAUUUGUUUAUAAUACUUACCUCUGGCUGUUUCUAUGGAA